UACGAAGGGGGCUAGCGUUGCUCGGAAUCACUGGGCGUAAAGCGCACGUAGGCGGACUCUUAAGUCGGGGGUGAAAUCCUGGAGCUCAACUCCAGAACUGCCUUCGAUACUGAGAGUCUUCGAGUUCGGGAGAGGUGAGUGGAACUGCGAGUGUAGAGGUGAAAUUCGUAGAUAUUCGCAAGAACACCAGUGGCGAAGCGGCUCACUGGCCCGAUACUGACGCUGAGGUGCGAAGCGUGGGAGCAAAC
rnacentral:rRNA from 1 species